CCUACGGGUGGCAGCAGUGAGGAAUAUUGGUCAAUGGCCGGAAGUCUGAACCAGCCAAGCCGCGUGAAGGACGAAGGUGCCACGCAUUGUAAACUUCUUUUGUCAAGGGACAAAAUCAGGCUCGCGCGCCUGACCGAGGGUACUUGAAGAAAACGCAUCGGCUAACUCCGUGCCAGCAGCCGCGGUAAUACGGAGGAUGCGAGCGUUAUCCGGAUUUAUUGGGUUUAAAGGGAGCGUAGAUGGGUUGUUAAGUCAGUUGUGAAAGUUUGCGGCUCAACCGUAAAAUUGCAAUUGAUACUGGCAGUCGUGAGUACAGUUGAGGUAGGCGGAAUUCGUGGUGUAGCGGUGAAAUGCUUAGAUAUCACGAAGAACUCCGAUUGCGAAGGCAGCUUACUAAACUGCAACUGACAUUGAUGCUCGAAAGUGUGGGUAUCAAACAGGAUUAGAUACCCGAGUAGUC
rnacentral:rRNA from 1 species